UCCGUAGGCGGGCGUCUAAGUCAGUGGUGAAAUCUUACAGCUCAACUGUAAAAUUGCCAUUGAUACUGGAUGUCUUGAAUUAGUGUGAAGUGGUUAGAAUGUGUAGUGUAGCGGUGAAAUGCAUAGAUAUUACACAGAAUACCAAUUGCGAAGGCAGAUCACUAACACUAUAUUGACGCUGAGGGACGAAAGCGUAGGGAGCGAACAGGAUUAGAUACCCUGGUAGUCC
rnacentral:rRNA from 1 species